rnacentral:lncRNA from 1 species
AUGAUAGAAAUGAAUGAAGAGUUGAGAAGAAACAGACAAGAAAUUGUGACUGGAUUGAACAUGUUCUUGGAAGAAAAUGAAGAAGACGAUGUUAGUUUGGAAGAACUGGAGGAGGAAGAAUUUGAUGUUCUUGAGGAAGAAGGAACAGAAACUAUAAGUGAAGAUGGUAGUUCAAAAGAAGCACAUAAUAUCACCAGAACACCUCAGAAAGUAUCCUUGAGGAGUAUCUCAGCCAUGACAGAUGAAGAGAGGCUUAUGAUGAGAAUUAAGAAGUUUGGAAUAAUUUCAGAUGACAAAUUUAGAAAUCACCAGGAGCUUCAUGCUUUGGAUUCAGCAUGCCAGCAGGAAAGGAAGUCACUACAAACAUGGAAAAGAAAAGAAAGAGACUGGAACGCUUUGGACUCCUUUGAUAUUCCCCUUAACCUUCUCUCCCCAAGUUUUAUAUAUCAGAAGUAAAUAUAGUAAUGGUGGCUGAAAUGCUUAUGUGUUUUUAUUAAGAUAUUAAAAUAUUUAGUAAUGUUCUUUUUUGUCCUUGAUUUUUUGUAAUCGUAUUUUUCUAAUAUUUUUUGUAGCAUCACUUCUGUACACUUAUACAUUUUUCAAAUAUUUUUUCUAGAUAUGUUAAAUUACUUUUAAAUUGGAAUGAAAUCAGUUCUACUCACCCAUGCUGUUUUGGGGUGACUGUUUUGUAUCUUAAUGCAUUCACUUACUCAACACAAGUUUGCAUUUAUAGUGGUCAUUUACAAUCUUUGCUUAACUUUAAUGCUUUUGGUAUGUAAUUAUUAAGAAUUUAUUCAUGGAUAUAUUAUAUCUCUUGUUAAUGGCCUUGAAUUAAAUACAUAUGGUUACAGAUUAUCUGGAGUACUUGUCAAAGUAAAUAUUCAAUUUCAAGCUUGAUUAUCAUUCAUUGCUUAACCAAACAUAGUGAUAUUAGUACCAUGAAUUUGAUACAGUGUUGCUCCAUAAUUUUGAUGCUUUUCUGUAGUAAAUUUGAUAUAGAACAGUUGCUUAAGAAAAACUGCUCAAUUGUGGGACCAUUUUAUGGAACACAUCUGGGAUAAUUAGUUCAGGAUGUGUACUAUUUAGGAACAGAGGUUUUCAACAAUCUGGAAGAAAGCAUGCUCCAGAUCUGGUUUUCUUAAUGAAUAGAGUAACCUCAAAUUAUUCAGUUCUUUAAGGUGUUAGUUGUGCUAAGAAUAUAAUUUUAAAGUAUAUUAGAAGGAAAUGAAGACUAAGUUUUAUUUAGGAUGCCAAAUAAGCAGUUUACACCUGUUAGUAUGUUUCGUUUACAACAGCUGUGUCUUUUAUUAUCAGUAAACAGAUGCAGAAAGUAAUGGAAUGUUUUAAAGCAAUAUGUUAAUCCUGUUCUCCACUUCUGAACUGUCUCACAAUAUAGUGAUUAAAUAUUAACUGUAUUGCAGCUGUUACUUACAAUUAUAGAAUUUCUUAGUUAAUU